UACAGAGGGUGCGAGCGUUGUCCGGAAUCACUGGGCGUAAAGGGCGCGUAGGUGGUGGCUUAAGCGUGCGGUGAAAGCUCGGGGCUCAACCCCGAGUCGGCCGUGCGAACUGGGCUCACUGGAGCAUAGUAGAGGCAGGUGGAAUUCCGGGUGUAGCGGUGGAAUGCGUAGAGAUCCGGAAGAACACUGGUGGCGAAGGCGGCCUGCUGGGCUAUGGCUGACACUGAGGCGCGACAGCGUGGGGAGCAAACAGG
rnacentral:rRNA from 1 species